rnacentral:rRNA from 1 species
UACCGAGGGGGCAAGCGUUAUUCGGAAUUAUUGGGCGUAAAGGGCGCGUAGGCGGCUUGGCAAGUGGAUGGUGAAAUCCCUCGGCUUAACCGAGGAACUGCCGUCCAAACUGCUUCGCUUGAGACCGGGAGAGGUGAGUGGAAUUCCCAGUGUAGCGGUGAAAUGCGUAGAUAUUGGGAGGAACACCAGUGGCGAAGGCGGCUCACUGGACCGGUACUGACGCUGAUGCGCGAAAGCGUGGGGAGCAAACGGG